rnacentral:rRNA from 1 species
GAUGAACGCUGACAGAAUGCUUAACACAUGCAAGUCAACUUGAAUUUGGGUUUUUACCUUAGGUUUGGGUGGCGGACGGGUGAGUAACGCGUAAAGAACUUGCCUCCCAGCUAGGGACAACAUUUGGAAACGAAUGCUAAUACCUAAUAUUAUGAUAAUAGGGCAUCCUAUAAUUAUGAAAGCUAUAAGCGCUGUGAGAGAGCUUUGCGUCCCAUUAGCUAGUUGGAGAGGUAACGGCUCACCAAGGCGAUGAUGGGUAGCCGGCCUGAGAGGGUGAUCGGCCACAAGGGGACUGAGACACGGCCAUUACUCAAACGGGAGGCAGCAGUGGGGAAUAGUGGACAAUGGACCGAGAGUCUGAUCCAGCAAUUCUGUGUGCACGAUGAAGUUUUUCGGAAUGUAAAGUGCUUUCAGUUGGGAAGAAACAAAUGACGGUACCAACAGAAGAAGUGACGGCUAAAUACGUG